CCAGUUUUUUCUUUCACUAUGUUGUGUAGUAUCUACAUGUCGAGCAUGGUUAUAUUUUGAGUUUGUCUUACAAGACAUGUUAUACCGUUUGCGUGCGCUUGUUCUACAUUAGUUUUACUGGGUCCUGGACAUGCUUAACAUGCUUAUUUUGUGGACUGUGUAAGAAACAUUUUUAUUGUUUUUGGUUUUAUUAAGGGGUUCAAUGGGGUUAUUUUUUCAUUUCAUUUCAUUUUCAUAAAUAUCGAAUAGGAUAGCAAGGAUAGCAUAAAGUGACAUUUAAAAUCCAAAAAGUCGAGGGCAAAAGCCACUGUGACACAAUUGUUAUGCUCUGUCAGUAAUCUGUAUUAUGUAAAAAUGGUCUGUAAAUACAGCAUGUUUCCUAGCGGAGUUAUACAUAUCAACAUAGUUAUAAAUUACAGUUUGUUAAAUCACACACUUAAUUUUUUAAAUAAAAUUAUUCACGACAUAUGAGUGGACAGACAAUGGAGGUCGACAGACCUGGUGAUAAUUGCUUCUAUAGAAAGUUAGCACAUGGCAGUGUCAAUCUCUUGCUUUUCUUCUGAGUAGUAUUUUAUUUAGUUGUAAUUCAAUCAGUAAUUUGCUUCUUGAAAUUAAGUAAUGAAUUUCUUGUUUUACUUUAUAAAUUUCAGAUCCUGCCUUUACCUGCUCCCUCCUAUACUGAUGUGGUGUAUGUGGUACUGCUGAGCUUGUAUGUGAUCUGAACCAUUGUAAAGGUUGCAGUUCAAGGGCCUGAGGUGGAAGCAGAAUUUGUGAUGAUUACUAGUGCUCCACUUGUUCCAAGGCUUUUUGCACAACUUGACCAAUACACUGACCAGCUCAUAAAAGUCUUCAAGAAAAAAGGAGGCGCUGCAGUGAAGAAAAUUAGACAAAUUUUGGCCCCAGCCACAAAGAAGGAAACUAUUGAAAAGGGGAGGGAGUGUGUCCUCAGGGCACUACCUUUUUACGUGAAUGAAGACCCAAGCAUCCUCUUCAAAGAAUAAUUGCUACAGCUACAGCUGUUCAGAGGGAGCUGGAACAAAUCACCCUUGCUAUCUUCACCAUCGAAAAAGCUGAUGCCAGCACUCCUCCAGCCGAUGUGGGUAUAACCAUCUAGGGUGUUCUGCAUGUCCUGGAAGACAUGGCCUCUGCAUGUGCACUCUUAAUGGGUGGGAUAUAUGCACUGAAUCUCAGUUAACCUUGAGACUGAAAGCUUUCUUUGAAGUACUUCAGAAGCUCUUCCUUCAUCUGUAUGUCAGCAGACUCUUGACCAAGGUACAGAUGCUCAAGAAUAAACUGAAUAAAUAAGCCAACCCUUAAUUUGGAUGAUGUUCUGUCAGAUGGACAGAAGUUUUUCGGUGGCUGAAUGGGAAUAAAAUGGUAAUUUGUUGUAAAUGACAGAUAAAGGGAAAAACUACAUUUAAGAGAAAUUUAAUUUUGAAAAGUUUGUAAAGUACUACAAUUUGAGAGAUUAUACUCUUGUGGGGGGGCUAGUAAGAGACAAUCAAAAGUAUUGAGAUUUAAAGGAUUUAAUUGAGAGAUGAUACUGCACCAGAAAUGUUGAAGGGUGGUGUGUAUAUUAGCGUUCAAGGCAUAUUGUUAUGAAGUGGAAAUAUGUUCAUAUUCUGUUUAUGCUACAUUGUGUGCAUUGUAAAGGUAAUUGCAAUACAUACUAAGAAUAAGGGUAAGUUAGCAAUGCAAGUUUUUUGCCCAAACACUGGUAAAAUAAACGUUAACAGUGGAAAGUGUUAAAUGGUUACUGUUGUGCUGUUGCAAAAAAACUGAAAGCUGACAAGCUGUUUUAUUGUUAGACCAUAAUGCUGGCAUGUUUUAUUAAAGUUUUAUUUGGGAUGGUGAUAUAAUUUUCUUUGAUUGCUAAUAUCAGUGGCCUAUUUAUUAUUAUCAUUAUUAUUAUUAUUAUUAUUACAUUAAUUUUUUAAAAUUGUGGCUGUUGAGGUGGACACUUCACUUUGCAUUGUUAAAGGAAAGCACUUCAUUGGCGUUGUGUUACUGGACUGACCCUAAGCAAUCAUUGCAAAUAGCAACUUUGCUAUCCAUUUUAGACACUAAAAGAAAAAACACUCCACAGACCUUACUAGCAUCACAUAUGCGUAACUCAAGUGUCCUCUUAUCAACAUGUUAUGUGGUCUUCAAUGUUUUUUUUCUUCUAUUUCUGGCAGAUACAGACAUUUAAUUUAAAGUCUUGAUGUUGCAUCUGUCUACAUACUCUUAGUUACUAACCCUAAUGAGCUGUUGUGUUUUAUUUUGGACUGGGUUUACACAAAUGCUCACUGAAUGUGUUGGCAAUAAAAGAAAUUUAAAAAAA